UCUCCGUUGGUGAACCAGCGGAGGGAUCAUUACAGAGUUGCAAAACUCCCGAACCAUUGUGAACGUUACCUAUCCCGUUGCUUCGGCGGGCGGCCCGGGCCCCGCGCCCGGCGCCCCCCGGCCCCCCGUGGGCGCCCGCCGGAGGUAAACCAAACCCUUGAAUUGCAUGGCCUCUCUGAGUCUUCUGUACUGAAUAAGUCAAAACUUUCAACAACGGAUCUCUUGGUUCUG
rnacentral:misc_RNA from 1 species